rnacentral:rRNA from 1 species
ACACGAACCGUCCGAACGUUAUUCGGAAUCACUGGGCUUAAAGGGUGCGUAGGCGGUGCGGUAAGUUGGGUGUGAAAUCCCUCGGCUCAACCGAGGAACUGCGCCCAAUACUGCCGUACUUGAGGGAGACAGAGGUAAGCGGAACUGAUGGUGGAGCGGUGAAAUGCGUUGAUAUCAUCGGGAACACCGGUGGCGAAAGCGGCUUACUGGGUCUCUUCUGACGCUGAGGCACGAAAGCUAGGGGAGCGAACGGGAUUAGAAACCCGGGUAGUCC